rnacentral:rRNA from 1 species
AUGGUCCUCUGGGAAAGCUUUUGCGGUAUGGGAUGGGGUCGCGUCCUAUCAGCUUGAUGGCGGGGUAACGGCCCACCAUGGCUUCGACGGGUAGCCGGCCUGAGAGGGCGACCGGCCACAUUGGGACUGAGAUACGGCCCAGACUCCUACGGGAGGCAGCAGUGGGGAAUAUUGCACAAUGGGCGCAAGCCUGAUGCAGCGACGCCGCGUGCGGGAUGACGGCCUUCGGGUUGUAAACCGCUUUUGACUGGGAGCAAGCCCUUCGGGGUGAGUGUACCUUUCGAAUAAGCACCGGCUAACUACGUGCCAGCAGCCGCGGUAAUACGUAGGGUGCAAGCGUUAUCCGGAAUUAUUGGGCGUAAAGGGCUCGUAGGCGGUUCGUCGCGUCCGGUGUGAAAGUCCAUCGCUUAACGGUGGAUCCGCGCCGGGUACGGGCGGGCUUGAGUGCGGUAGGGGAGACUGGAAUUCCCGGUGUAACGGUGGAAUGUGUAGAUAUCGGAAAAAAAAC